rnacentral:tRNA from 1 species
GCGCCUUUAGUUUAAAUGGCAGAGCGUAGGUCUCCAAAGCCUGUGGUUGAAGGUUCGAAUCCUUCAAGGCGUG